rnacentral:rRNA from 1 species
UGGGGAAUUUUGGACAAUGGGCGCAAGCCUGAUCCAGCAAUGCCGCGUGAGUGAAGAAGGCCUUCGGGUUGUAAAGCUCUUUUGUCAGGGAAGAAACGGCUGCGGCUAAUAUCCGCGGCUAAUGACGGUACCUGAAGAAUAAGCACCGGCUAACUACGUGC